rnacentral:rRNA from 1 species
GAUGAACGCUGGCGGCGUGCCUAAUACAUGCAAGUCGAGCGAACAGACGAGGAGCUUGCUCCUCUGACGUUAGCGGCGGACGGGUGAGUAACACGUGGAUAACCUACCUAUAAGACUGGGAUAACUUCGGGAAACCGGAGCUAAUACCGGAUAAUAUAUUGAACCGCAUGGUUCAAUAGUGAAAGACGGUUUUGCUGUCACUUAUAGAUGGAUCCGCGCCGCAUUAGCUAGUUGGUAAGGUAACGGCUUACCAAGGCAACGAUGAGUAGCCGACCUGAGAGGUUGAUCGGCCACACUGGAACUGAGACACGGUCCAGCCUCCUACGGGAGGCAGCAGUAGGGAAUCUUCCGCAAUGGGCGAAGUCCUGACGGAGCAACGCCGCGUGAGUGAUGAAGGUCUUCGGAUCUUAAAACUCUGUUAUUAGGGAAGACCAAAUGUGUAAGUAACUAUGCACGUCUUGACGGUACCUAAUCAGAAAGCCACGGCUAACUACGUG